rnacentral:sRNA from 1 species
CACUCUUACGGGAUGUAAUCAUUAAGAGUACGACAUUCUCGUCAGAAUCUCGCAGCUCGACGAUAUCGUUUUAGCAUUCACUGCUUCGGAAAAGUGGGAACAGACAACGAUUACAAAGUAAACCAACUGCCCAAGGUUCGACGAGCAACGCGCGAGACCCCAUCGAUACCAGGCUCCGGCCUGAAAAGCUCUACUUUAUCUCGGUGAAUUGUCCCAAGAUGCAAGUCUCGAAAGGCCGUCAGCUGGGAUUGCGUGUUGACAGAGACACAUUUUGACUCGCGGGUUGGGCAUCCUAUCACCAGAA